rnacentral:rRNA from 1 species
GACAAUGGGCGCAAGCCUGAUCCAGCAAUGCCGCGUGCAGGAAGAAGGCCUUCGGGUUGUAAACUGCUUUUGUACGGAACGAAACGGUCUGGGUUAAUACCCUGGGCUAAUGACGGUACCGUAAGAAUAAGCACCGGCUAACUACGUGCCAGCAGCCGCGGUAAUACA